rnacentral:rRNA from 1 species
GAUGAACGCUGGCGGCGUGCCUAAUACAUGCAAGUCGAGCGAACGGACGAGAAGCUUGCUUCUCUGAUGUUAGCGGCGGACGGGUGAGUAACACGUGGAUAACCUACCUAUAAGACUGGGAUAACCUCGGGAAACCGGAGCUAAUACCGGAUAAUAUUUUGAACCGCAUGGUUCAAAAGUGAAAGACGGUCUUGCUGUCACUUAUAGAUGGAUCUGCGCUGCAUUAGCUAGUUGGUAAGGUAACGGCUUACCAAGGCAACGAUGCAUAGCCGACCUGAGAGGGUGAUCGGCCACACUGGAACUGAGACACGGUCCAGACUCCUACGGGAGGCAGCAGUAGGGAAUCUUCCGCAAUGGGCGAAAGCCUGACGGAGCAACGCCGCGCGAGUGAUGAAGGUCUUCGGAUCGUAAAACUCUGUUAUUAGGGAAGAACAUAUGUGUAAGUAACUGUGCACAUCUUGACGGUACCUAAUCAGAAAGCCACGGCUAACUACGUG